rnacentral:rRNA from 1 species
CCUACGGGGGGCAGCAGUGGGGAAUAUUGGACAAUGGGGGGAACCCUGAUCCAGCCAUGCCGCGUGUGUGAAGAAGGCCCUCGGGUUGUAAAGCACUUUCAGUGAGGAAGAACGCCUGGUGGUUAAUACCCAUCAGGAAAGACAUCACUCACAGAAGAAGCACCGGCUAACUCCGUGCCAGCAGCCGCGGUAAUACGGAGGGUGCGAGCGUUAAUCGGAAUUACUGGGCAUAAAGCGCGCGUAGGUGGCUUGAUAAGCCGGUUGUGAAAGCCCCGGGCUCAACCUGGGAACGGCAUCCGGAACUGUCAAGCUAGAGUGCAGGAGAGGAAGGUAGAAUUCCCGGUGUAGCGGUGAAAUGCGUAGAGAUCGGGAGGAAUACCAGUGGCGAAGGCGGCCUUCUGGACUGACACUGACACUGAGGUGCGAAAGCGUGGGUAGCAAACAGGAUUAGAUACCCCGGUAGUC